GAUGAACGCUGGCGGCGUGCCUAACACAUGCAAGUCGAACGGACAGACCAUGAGCUUGUUCCUUUGACGUUAGCGGCUGGCGGGUGGGUAACGCGUGGAUCCCCUACUUAUCUUUCUUGGAUCAUUACGUAAAACCGGCUCUGAUACCAGAUCAUAUCUUGCACCGCAUUGUUCAAUGGAUAAUGACGGCUUUGGUGUCUGUAUUAGCUGCUUCCGCGCUGGAUUGGCUAGUUGGUACGGUAACGGCUUACCAAGGCUACGAUGCGUAGCCGACCUGAGAGGGUGAUCGGCCACACUGGAACUGAGACACGGUCCAGACUCCUACGGGAGGCAGCAGUAGGGAAUAUUCGGCAAUGGGCGAAAGCCUGACGGAGCAACGCCGCGUGAGUGAUGAAGGCCUUCGGAUCGUAAAACUCGUUUAUUGGGGAAGAACAGAUGUGGAAGUAAACAUGGACGUCUUGACGGUACCUAAUCAGAAAGCAACGGCUAACUACGUG
rnacentral:rRNA from 1 species